UCUGCCUAUUGCAACCUCCGUAUGUCUACGCGUGGAGUCCAUCUACCACGUACCGCCCCUUCCUGAGCUCCAGGGGUACAAGUAACAUUGUAGCCGACCUUAUUACCACCGUCCUCCGCUCCUAACCUCGCGCGUCCACUCCCAUCGUGGACACCGCCGCUUAUCCUGCUCACUGUGCCACUCCAAACGUCCAUAUGCCGUCACUAUUUCGACGCAAGCAUCCUCAAUCUUCCCGAUCUCUCUCAUGCCCAGGACUUGCUAAUAUGUAUUUUGGGUCCCGUCUAAUUAUUUCGAAACAUAGCAACCAAUCUUUGUGUCUCUUCAUAAUUUAUUUUCUCUCUUGCACUAGCACAUCAAGGUUGCUCUACGCCGACUUUAUAUCAUGGUUUGGUCGGGUGCACACUUCACAUACGUACAAAUUUUCACCGAGUAAAUGCUACUCAUUCUAAAAUCAGGAAAAAUAUAUUUCAUUAUUUUGCAUAUCCGGAAAAUAACUUUAGGGUGUAGAUACAUUUAUUUUGCUCCGUAUUUAGUACGUAAUGAAAUCUCUAAAAAGACUUAGAUUUAGGAACGGAGCUAGUAGAAGAGUGGCUAGAAACACACAUGGCUAGUGUUGGAGCAGUAACCUAAGAUUGAUUUCUUCGUGAAUAAAUGCACCUCUCUUUCCAUCGAAUACUUCUGCAGCAAGCUUGGGACAUUAUAGAAGAACAUCUAAACAUAUACAGAUUAGACAAUAACUUUCGUUGAACAAAUUGUAAUAUGAACCAAAUACUCAUACUAUUUAAGACUACGUUAUCCUGGCUAGGACCUUUUUCAUGUAUGCAACAACCACUUCAUUGACAUUAGAAGACGAAGAAACUAAUUUCAAGCCUUGUUGAAUUAUCACCAACAAACUGUUUUGUCAUCCUGAUUUCGCAUUGCGCUAGUUAUAGACUCGUCUUGAAGUUUUCUAAACACCGUCUUUCAAGAUUAAAAACUUCUUUAGACCAAG
rnacentral:lncRNA from 1 species